GUGGCCCUGGAGCCGCGGCCCGCGGUGGAGCCGGACAGGGAGCCCCGCGCUUGGGGGGUAACCCGAGCCCUCGAAGCCCGUGAAGCUGCGAGGGCGGCUUAGCUUCAGUGCUUUGGCUGAGAACACCCUUAAAGCUUAAAAUAAAACUUGCCUGCGGGGUGCGGAGGACAGAGGAGGACGCGAACCAGCGCCCACCCCCGAUCUCUGGUCUGUAAAAUAGGAUGCUCAGCGCUGGGACUACAGGACCCGGCGGCCGGUCCCUCCACCCACGUCCCCAGCCAGCCCCAGAUGCCCUCCCACACUUACAAAGGAAAUGCAGGCGGCCAGGAGAAGGAUCCGCACCAGCAGGUCUUCAAACUGCUCUAUCACCAACUCCCACAGGGACUUCCCUGAGGGAAGAGGCAAGGGAGCUCUAUCCAGGGGAAAAGAAGAAAAGGACAUGUUCAUUUGGGGUUCAGCCUCAUGCUGCCCACACCCCGGAUUUUGUGGCUAAGAUAAGGAUACCAAGGCCCAGAGUGGCUGCACCUUUCCUGGGUCACACAGCAAAUGAGGCAAAGCCAGGACUGGAAGCCAGUGCUCUGUUACCCAUCCUCCAGCCUGGCUCUGAGAAGGGGGGCAGUCAGCCUGUCCUUGGGCCCCUCUGCAGCCAGACACUGUGACUACCACGUUAAACCUCUCCCAGCACAGCCACGGAGCUCCCACCCCACCCCUGCGAUCUGUCUGCUUUCUCCCUAGAGCAGGAAGCUUUAAGAAUUCAGAGCAGGAAGGGCCCUUGGAGAUGAUCAAUCCUGCCAUUCGCUGUCCUGUCGCAUCAAGAGAACUUGCUGGAGACCCCAAGAAGCACUGUUUAGCUGUGCACAUACUGCUUAGCAAGCAGGACAGCCCACAGUGAUGGCCCGAAAGCACAAGACUGGAGAGCGACAGGGACCCAACCUGGGCCAGCUCUGGCCUCUCAGCUCGAGCUCACACACUUGGAGCCAUGUGCUAUCUUUCCCACAUCCCAUCUCCUAAGCAACCCCCCAUCCAUGGAAGAUGGAUCAUGGGCGGCGACCUGCUCUGCUCACCCUGCUGUCGCUGGGAGGAUGGGACAUAGCUGACAAGGACAACAUCACUGGAGCCUCCAGACUCCAGAGGGAUGGGGUGCACCCGGAAAUGCUCAAGCAUAUCGAAAAUGGACUGGAACCACAGGUGCUGGACCCGGCACUGCCCCUCCUCGUUCAGUGACAAACGCAGGUGCUGAGGGCAGGACAAGAACGGUGAGGCGGGAGCUGGAGUCCUCACUGGUUACAAAAUCCUCCUCCCCUGGACAGCACUGUCCCCCAUUCACCCACUCUUUGCACAGAACAGAGCCUUUUCCUGUCACUCACCUUGGCCUUGCCCUGGAAGUUGAAGGUGAGGACGUAUUCACCCCGCCUUGUCUCACUCUGACGUACCAGGAAGACACCGUGGGAGCCGAUGCCUCCUGUCAGCACUAACUGGGCAGCCUUGAGUCGAGAGAGCAUCCCGUGGAACCACGGAUAUCCUGAGAGGGGCUGGUCCCCCUCACCUCCCUCUGACUCCCCCUGGAACAGGAAUGACCCUUCAGGAAGGAGAGAGGGAGGGAAACCGGGGUGUCAGGGAAGCCUCCCCCAUCCUGGGAGAAAAGCCUUGUUUUCCCCUCAAGGUGUCUCCCCCCUCACA